GCUCGCUCUUCAAUCCACAAUGGUACAGUCUGUAAAACCAGUGGUAGUACUGUAUGGCAAUCUACGUCUUGAGUGUACGUCGCACUGAUGAUGAUCCAGUGCGUGAUGAUCAGAUUGUUACAAGAUGCAUUGCAAAUGGAGCGGUUUUCCCAAUCUGUGUUACAUGUACACCAAAUUUAAAUCACAUCAACAUAACAGGCUGCAUCUCUGCUCUUGACGAAGUAGAAGUUUGAGAUAAAUUUAGGAAACACCGGUCAGCAGAUGCAGG